GCCGUAGAGAAGCCUAUUUUCUUAGGGAAAUUUUUGGGCCAAGAACCGGGCCGUUACAAUUCUCCCCCACUUGAAUGGAAUUCGUCCCCGAAUUCCGUAUGUCGAUACUCCAACUCUAACAUCCCAAACCCAAAUGGGUAAACAACUCGUCCCUUUGAAAUCUAAUGGUUCAUGCAACAGACCAAGUUCCAUAUUCCUCACGGAUAUCCAACGUCCUCUUAAAUCCCCAAAUCGAUUCUCCAACAUCGUUCUCAUCCCUAGAUUGCUUUCAUCUCAUAUGCAUUUCCAUAUCACCACCACUCUUGUCGACGUAAUUCUCUGAUGGUCAUGUACCUCUUCUAUCCUUUCAUAAAGCAGCUCAUCAUCAACAAUUAUAUCUGCUAAGCGGUUUCUUAGAUCAUCUCAGGCUCGAAAUUCUGCUCUCUCCCACUUUGGUCCAACAUAAGAGAUUCAACAUGGUUGUUCAUACAAUUCUCAAUAGGGGAUAUCCAUUUGCUCGAGUCGUAGCUAAUGUCUUGCAUGGAUUCAACUAUUAUCAGAUCCAUUAACAAACUUCCUCUCUAAGCUCAACACACAUGUACACCACAUAGGUUGAUUGCCAUGUCCUUGGCGACCCAACAACAAAAAAUAUAUUGUUAUUCAUAUUCCAUUUCCAUUUUGACACAUACAACUCUUGCAUCAAUCAUAUACAGCCUCACACUCCACUGUUCUCAACUAACAAGUCUCAACUGCAAAGCUCCCUUAAAACCCUCUUUAUCCUUACCCAUGGCAGUUCCUCUUCGAAUUCUGAUAAAUCUAUUUGAUGCCCACUAUAAUGUCCAUUGCGACCAAUAAACUUGUCCAAUGAUCUCUUCCUGUUCAUUAAUCUCUAACUUCCGUAUAGAUUCUCGCUAAGCCCCGAUGAUAUCCCUAACACACUGCAACAUCCCUGAACACUGGUACACCUCUAAAUACGCAUCCCAAAAUUAUGUUACUUCAUAUCAUUCCAAACUCCAACUCCAGUAGGUGUCCAUGCAGAUUCACACCGUUGAGAGAUAUUAACACUACCACAUACACACCUCUGGUCAUCAUUCUCUAUACUUCCUUGGUCAUAUCCCAGGUAGUCCGAAUUAAAGUUGCCCUUGCCGGAACCGGUAAUUAGGAUAGUACUUCAACCGCGGAUCCUACUGGUUGAGUCCAGCAGCCCCGACUUGGUAUUUAGCUACUCCGCACCGAACAUAUCCUCGUCCUCUGAGUCCUUCGGUCUGACCAUGUUUUCCUUGAUGAACGAACCUCCUAUCAUAGCCCUACUGGUUGUACUGGUAGUACGCUCUCAUCCAUUAUUUCCUAGUGUGGUUCUUCUCGCACUUCCACUCUUUUCACAACAACGAAACUGCCUUGUGUUAAUGGCGAUGUCACAAGUUCUCCUUGGGCUCUGAGUAUGUGAUGCUUGGUUAGCCUAUGAUCUUCUUACAACCAAAACUAUAGCUCUGCACCCUUUUAGAUUAGCUCAUGAUCCCAGUAAUCUUGCACGUUACAACUAUUCUUCAGAUCGGUUCUCAUUUCCUUCAGGAAGCGGUGAAUCACUUCUCGCCCCCUUAGAGAGUGCCCGACAAAUCUUCUUAGAGGGUUACAUCCUUAUUGUAUUCCCUUACAAUCAUGUCUCUUUGGCGGAUAUCCUAGAACUAGCCCUCCAUUAGAUAUAUGUCCUUCCUCGAGAAAUACCUUCAUUGACUUAUGACCUCAACUUGUUUCACUGCACCUCUAAUGUUCCUCCAAACCCAUGAUAUCCGCCACAACCUUAACGCUCUCGGUAGUUACAUUAGUCGGGUUUCCAUCUCUGGCUUUCCUCCAACCACUCCAACUCAUGUGUCUGGCGAU
rnacentral:lncRNA from 1 species